UACAGAGGGUGCGAGCGUUGUUCGGAAUUACUGGGCGUAAAGCGCGCGCAGGCGGCCCUUUAAGUCCGUCGGUCAAAUGCCGGGGCUCAACCCCGUUGCAUGCCGCGGAUACUGGAGGGCUGGAGACACGUAGAGGCAAGCGGAAUUCCGGGUGUAGCGGUGGAAUGCGUAGAGAUCCGGAAGAACACCGGAGGCGAAGGCGGCUUGCUGGGCGUGAUCUGACGCUGAGGCGCGAAAGCGUGGGGAGCGAACAGG
rnacentral:rRNA from 1 species